rnacentral:lncRNA from 12 species
CGGUGACCAACACCAAAAAUUCCCGGUCACCGAUGGCCAGGAAUGACAAAAUUCCCGGUCAACGACACCGAAGACUCCUGGUCAAUGAUGGUGAAAAUUCCUGGUCAAUGACACCAGAAAUUCCCGGUAAUCAAUGGUGGAAAUUCCCGGGGACCAACACCAAAAAUUCCCAGUCAACAACGGCCAGGAACGGUGAAAAUUCCCGGUCAACGCCACAAAAAAUUCCUGGUAAUCAAUGGUGGAAAUUCCCAGUGACCAAUGGUGAGGGAUAGGCAAAAAUUCCCGGUCACCGGAACACCCAGAUCCCAGAAGAGAAACCCGGAUCCCGACAGAAACCCCAAAUCCCAACAACAACCCCCCAAGGCAACACCCGUUCCCCAGCCCCUCUUUCCUUGGGAAUUUCCCAGGAAUUUUCUGGAAUUUUCCAGGAUUUCCCCUGGAUUUUCGUAGGAUAUUUUUCCAUUAUUUUCUCAGGAUUU